UGGGGAAUUUUGGACAAUGGGCGAAAGCCUGAUCCAGCAAUGCCGCGUGUGUGAAGAAGGCCUUCGGGUUGUAAAGCACUUUUGUCCGGAAAGAAAUCCUUGGCUCUAAUACAGUCGGGGGAUGACGGUACCGGAAGAAUAAGCACCGGCUAACUACGUGCCAGCAGCCGCGGUAAUACGUAGGGUGCAAGCGUUAAUCGGAAUUACUGGGCGUAAAGCGUGCGCAGGCGGUUUGCUAAGACCGAUGUGAAAUCCCCGGGCUCAACCUGGGAACUGCAUUGGUGACUGGCAGGCUAGAGUAUGGCAGAGGGGGGUAGAAUUCCACGUGUAGCAGUGAAAUGCGUAGAGAUGUGGAGGAAUACCGAUGGCGAAGGCAGCCCCCUGGGCCAAUACUGACGCUCAUGCACGAAAGCGUGGGGAGCAAACAGGAUUAGAUACCUUGGUAGUCCACGCCCUAAACGAUGUCAACUAGUUGUUGGGGAUUCAUUUCCUUAGUAACGUAGCUAACGCGUGAAGUUGACCGCCUGGGGAGUACGGUCGCAAGAUUAAAACUCAAAGGAAUUGACGGGGUCAUAGCUGUUUCCU
rnacentral:rRNA from 1 species